GGAAUAAUAUGAGGGCUGUAAAUAAAAGAAAGCAGGUUGUUGGAUGGAAAUAGCACAGAACGUUUCAUGCGCAGCAAUUUGUGAGUGAAAGUCGUUUCAAAGUAAAUCAUACGGCAUUAUUUCUUUGACUGAAAGCGUAUGAGCUUUAUGAUCAGAAACCAAGGUCAGAGAGCUGAUAGUAUUCUGCUGCUGUUUCAGGCAAAUGGCUCUGAAUGCAAAGCGUUUGUAUGACAGUCUGAGCCAAACUAGGCAGAUAUUAAAACCAAUGACUUCACUGGACUACACAAAUCAGAGAAGAGAUGUGUGUGUGUGUGUGUGUGUGUGCAUGUGUGUGUGUGUGUGUGUAGAGGUUAUAAGAUAAAGGGGGAACAGUACACAGAUCUGACCGGAUCUGACACACUACAUAGAGACAGAAGAGCGCCAUCAUGUGGACAACACAUGUGUAAACAGGAAACAGCAGCAGUUCUGUUUAUUAAUGUAACCUACGCACAAAACAACCUGACAGGAGAAUGUGCGCAGCUGAAGUCAUCCGGAUCCGCCUGACUUCUGCCUGCCCUUCAGACAGACACUCCUCGCUCCUCGCGGUUUUGUGUGAUCACCGGCCUGACAUUAAAGAGAUGCUGCAAGAAAAGAAAUGGGCUUAUCUGGAUGCGGGGCUGUAAGGGGAGAUGAUGUCCUCCGGGCCCUGGACAAGGUCAGGGACCGCGAAGGGCCACAGGGACACGCUGGAGAGCACGGAGGUAACAGUCUGUCAUGGACGAGGAGCCAGCCGAGUGUGUAACGACACGGGAACGAGACGCUGGCCACACAUUCACAUCACGGCGGAGGGGGAAAUCUUCCUCUGGCCUGCUGGCGGUGUGUUUUACAACAUGUGUAAAGUCUUCACCAGCUUGCAAGACAGGAGAUGUUUCUUCAGGGAUCACGGAAAAGCUGGAAAACACACCAGUUCUAAAGGCAGAACGAAAAGACUGUUUGAUGAUGACGACAUUAAGGGAGAGUUCACCCUCAACUCAAAUUUCUAUAUUCUACAGUGUAAAAAUGAUUGACUUUACUUAAAA
rnacentral:lncRNA from 1 species